CCCUUAACUUACCGUAGAUGUAUCUUGGUGAAUAGCUCCCAAUUAAAAACUACUUGAUUGAAUCUGCCAAACUUACCUUAGACACCAAUUGAUUAAUUAGUUUCGAUUUGGCAUACCAAAAGAUUCGGGCUCAACCAUGGAGCCAUGAUCAUGGUCCGUUUAUUAGAGUCAAACACAUAGACUUGAUCAAACUUCAACUAUUGAGAUUGAUUUAGAGAAAUACUGAUCUAAUCUAAUUCAACACUUGAUUAGAUUUAAUUAAUUUCUCUACUUGAUCCAUAUGCAUUCUUAACCCUAAGUCUAACCUAUUAAAAGGACCUGAUUCAUGCUAACCCUUUGCUCAU
rnacentral:lncRNA from 1 species